rnacentral:rRNA from 1 species
CAGCCACAACAGCCCGCUGGCUCGCACGGGGUGCUCUUCAUCGAGUGUCCCGCGUGGCCGGCAGAGUUUACUUUGAAAAAAUUAGAGUGCUCAAAGCAGGCUACACUUACGGCCUGAAUGCCUAUGCAUGGAAUAAUGGAAUAGGACCUCGGUUCUAUUUUGUCGGUUUUCUGAACCCGAGGUAAUGACUAAUAGGAACAGGCGGGGGCAUUCGUAUUGCGACGCUAGAGGUGAAAUUCUUGGACCGUCGCAAGACGAACUACUGCGAAAGCAUUUGCCAAGGAUGUUUUCAUUAAUCAAGAACGAAAGUUAGAGGUUCGAAGGCGAUCAGAUACCGCCCUAGUUCUAACCAUAAACGAUGCUGACCAGCGAUCCGCCGGCGUUAUUCCCAUGACCCGGCGGGCAGCUUCCGGGAAACCAAAGUCUUUGGGUUCCGGGGGAAGUAUGGUUGCAAAGCUGAAACUUAAAGGAAUUGACGGAAGGGCACCACCAGGAGUGGAGCCUGCGGCUUAAUUUGACUCAACACGGGGAACCUCACCAGGCCCAGACACCGGAAGGAUUGACAGAUUGAGAGCUCUUUCUCGAUUCGGUGGGUGGUGGUGCAUGGCCGUUCUUAGUUGGUGGAGCGAUUUGUCUGGUUAAUUCCGAUAAC